CAUUGGUGAGAAUCCAAUGCCCCGAAAACUCAAGGUUUCCUCUGCAAGGUUCGUCCACGGAGGGUGAGUCAGGGCCUAAGAUCAUGCCGAAAGGCGUAGUCAAUGGACAACAGGUCAAUAUUCUUGUACUACCCCUUGUUGGUACGAAGGGACGGAGGAGGCUAGGUUAGCCAACUCGUUCAUUCUAUUUAAAAAAUCUUCGUUCCAAAACCGUACAUGAGGUUUUCAUCUCAUACGCCUCCUCCCUUCUGUACAUAGUAUCAAGCGAAAUAAUCUAUAGAAUCAAAUUAGUUCCGUCUCGUUAUGGACUGAAAGGGG
rnacentral:ncRNA from 1 species